CGACUAUCAGUGUUUUCCUCAUUAGCCUUAACGAUCAAUUAGAUUAUUUCUCGACGUAUCCAAUGGAUAAUAAACAAACAUGGUUGGGGUUUGAAGCAAUGGAAUUAAUAGGUUUUAUUAUCAAUGACCAAUCCGGAAUUCCAUCGAAUUAAAAACUUUACGAGGCAAAUUAUUUAAUGAUAAAACACAUGAUCAAACGAACUCGGACA